rnacentral:rRNA from 1 species
UACGUAGGUGCCAAGCGUUGUCCGGAUUUAUUGGGCGUAAAGCGAGCGCAGGCGGUUGAUUAAGUCUGAUGUGAAAGCCCGGGGCUCAACCCCGGAAUGGCAUUGGAAACUGGUGAACUUGAGUGCAGUAGAGGAAAGUGGAACUCCGUGUGUAGCGGUGAAAUGCGUAGAUAUAUGGAAGAACACCAGUGGCGAAGGCGGCUUACUGGACUGUAACUGACGCUGAGGCUCGAAAGUGUGGGUAGCAAACAGG